rnacentral:misc_RNA from 1 species
GUGAAUCAUCAAAUUUUUGAACGCAAAUUGCACUCUCUGCGGAGAGGAGGCGUGUUUGAGGGUCAGUAUUAGUAAAAAUCGGUGUGUUGCUUCUUUGUGACGCGCCGGGGUUUGGGUCAUCGUAAUAUCCUAUAGGUUUUAGUAGGCUUAAAAUUGACUGUUUUUUCUCAUGUUAGAUGUACAGAAAUUCUUUUUUUUAUUCGUCUGUCUUAAUGCUGAAAAUCUUAUUAGAUGCGACCAUAUCGUGUGGUGUCUUGUCU